GAGGCCUCUCCAGCUACGCUUCCUGUACAGCCUAGGAACCAUCCUGGCAAUUGUUCCAUGAGCACAUGGAGGGGAGCCUCAAGCAUCUUCAUAGAUAACCAGCACUGCUCAAACUUUCCUAUCAAAGCAACUGGAAUGGGAGAAGCACACAGAUUGCAGCAAGGACACCAUUUAUUUGAAAUCUUCAAUUUUAUUUGCAUUUCAUGCCAACUUUCCAUUCCGCUUCCUAAUGCGUGUGUGCUUAUUUUAAUAUAAAAAUCAUAGUUUAAAACAGA